rnacentral:rRNA from 1 species
GGCUGAAAUUCGCCUUCAUGAAGCCGGAAUUGCUAGUAAUGGCAGGUCAGCAUACUGCCGUGAAUACGUUCCCGGGCCUUGUACACACCGCCCGUCACACCAUGAGAGUUGGGAAUACCCGAAGCCUGUGAGCUAACGUAAGAGGCAGCAGUCGAAGGUAGAAUCAAUGAUUGGGGUGAAGUCGUAACAAGGUACC